AACGGGAACCGGCGCCCGGAAUGUCAGCGUGUGAAGUAGGCGCUGGCAACGCGGGGUUACCCGCUGUUAUUGAGGAGUAACGGCCCAGCGGACCACCCAGGCUUGAGGCAGCGGCGGGAACCACUCGGUUUGCUGCGAUACCAUGGAAGGAGGCGGGGGAAGCGGCGACAAAACCACAGGGGUAUUGGCCGGCUUUUUCGGAGCCGGCGAAGCAGGUUACUCGCACGCGGAUUUGGCUGGCGUCCCGCAGUCAGGACCUCGUUCUGUCACCCAUGUUGGGGUGCGGUGGCAUGAUUAUAGUUCACUGAAGCCUGGCACUCCUGAGCUCAAACAAUCCUCCCCUCUAAGCCUCCUAAGUAGCUGGGAAUCUAGUAACUGGUAUGAACCCUCUGUGUCCUUAUUUAAAUGUGGAUCCACGAUACCUCGUGCAGGAUACAGAUGAGUUCAUUUUACCUACCGGAGCUAAUAAAACCUGGGGCAGAUUUGAGCUGGCCUUCUUUACGAUUGGAGGGUGUUGCAUGACAGGGGCUGCGUUUGGGGCAAUGAAUGGUCUUCGGCUAGGAUUGAAGGAAACCCAGAACAUGGCCUGGUCCAAACCAGGAAAUGUACAGAUUUUGAAUAUGGUGACUAGGCAAGGGGCACUUUGGGCUAAUACUCUAGGUUCUCUGGCGUUGCUCUAUAGUGCAUUUGGUGUCAUCAUUGAGAAAACACGAGGUGCAGAAGAUGACCUUAACACAGUAGCAGCUGGAACCAUGACAGGCAUGUUGUAUAAAUGUACAGUGUCAGAGAUGGCUUUGGAUUCCCCGUUCUGUGUGCUGCUGUCUGGCUCCUGAACCCAGCUGUAGAGGUGUGUGUCAAUCCCAACUGGUGAAGUACUGAGAAGAAGCUACACAAAAGGCAGCAAAGUAUUACUUUGGAGUUUAACCUUUCUGCCAAUCCAGAGUCAAGCACAAUAUUCCAGAGGAACUCUCAAACAGAAGCUUUGGAGUUUAACCCUUCUGCCAAUCCAGAGGCAAGCACAAUAUUCCAGAGGAACUCUCAAACAGAUGUUGUAGAAAUAAGAAGAAGCAACUGUACAAACCAUGUAUCUGCUGUGCGUUUCAGUCAACAAUACAGCUUGUGUUCGACAAUAUUCCUUGAUGACAGCACAGCCAUCCAGCAUUAUCUUACAAUGACAAUAAUAUCUGUGACCUUGGAGAUACCUCAUCAUAUCACACAAAGAGAUGCAGAUAGAACUUUGAGCAUACCUGAUGAACAGUUACACUCAUUUGCGGUUUCCACCGUGCACAUUAUGAAGAAAAGAAAUGGAGGUGGGAGUUUAAAUAACUAUUCCUCCUCCAUUCCAUCGACUCCCAGCACCAGCCAGGAGGACCCUCAGUUCAGUGUUCCUCCCACUGCCAACACACCCACGCCCGUUUGCAAGCGGUCCAUGCGCUGGUCCAACCUGUUUACAUCUGAGAAAGGGAGUGACCCAGACAAAGAGAGGAAAGCCCCGGAGAAUCAUGCUGACACCAUCGGGAGCGGUAGAGCCAUCCCCAUUAAACAGGGCAUGCUCUUAAAGCGAAGUGGGAAAUGGCUGAAGACAUGGAAAAAGAAAUACGUCACCCUGUGUUCCAAUGGCAUGCUCACCUAUUAUUCAAGCUUAGGUGAUUAUAUGAAGAAUAUUCAUAAAAAAGAGAUUGACCUUCAGACAUCUACCAUCAAAGUCCCAGGAAAGUGGCCAUCCCUAGCCACAUCGGCCUGCACACCCAUCUCCAGCUCUAAAAGCAAUGGCCUAUCCAAGGACAUGGACACCGGGCUGGGUGACUCCAUAUGCUUCAGCCCCAGUAUCUCCAGCACCACCAGCCCCAAGCUCAACCCGCCCCCCUCUCCUCAUGCUAAUAAAAAGAAACACCUAAAGAAGAAAAGCACCAACAACUUUAUGAUUGUGUCUGCCACUGGCCAAACGUGGCACUUUGAAGCCACGACGUAUGAGGAGCGGGAUGCCUGGGUCCAAGCCAUCCAGAGCCAGAUCCUGGCCAGCCUGCAGUCAUGCGAGAGCAGUAAAAGCAAGUCCCAGCUGACCAGCCAGAGCGAGGCCAUGGCCCUGCAGUCGAUCCAAAACAUGCGUGGGAACGCCCACUGUGUGGACUGUGAGACCCAGAAUCCUAAGUGGGCCAGUUUGAACUUGGGAGUCCUCAUGUGUAUUGAAUGCUCAGGUAUCCACCGCAGUCUUGGCCCCCACCUUUCCCGUGUGCGAUCUCUGGAGCUGGAUGACUGGCCAGUUGAGCUCAGGAAGGUUAUGUCAUCUAUUGUCAAUGACCUAGCCAACAGCAUCUGGGAAGGGAGCAGCCAGGGGCAGACAAAACCCUCAGAAAAGUCCACGAGGGAAGAGAAGGAACGGUGGAUCCGUUCCAAAUAUGAGGAGAAGCUCUUUCUGGCCCCACUACCCUGCACUGAGCUGUCCCUGGGCCAGCAGCUGCUGCGGGCCACCGCUGAUGAGGACCUGCAGACAGCCAUCCUGCUGCUGGCACAUGGCUCCUGUGAGGAGGUGAACGAGACCUGUGGGGAGGGAGACGGCUGCACGGCGCUCCAUCUGGCCUGCCGCAAGGGGAAUGUGGUCCUGGCGCAGCUCCUGAUCUGGUACGGGGUGGACGUCAUGGCCCGAGAUGCCCACGGGAACACAGCGCUGACCUACGCCCGGCAGGCCUCCAGCCAGGAGUGCAUCAACGUGCUUCUGCAGUACGGCUGCCCCGACGAGUGUGUGUAGUAUCUGUUUUAUUUGACUGCAGUCUCCUUGGUGCAAAAACAAAAUGGGAAAAAUAAGGAUAACUCAGAAUUUCAAAAGGAAAUCACAAAUUCAGCUAAUAUUAGCAUUUUCAGUACUUUUCGUAAACUAAGUAAAUACACAAAAUGUUGAUUUUUCUGACCAUAAGACGUAUUUUAUGUCCUUCUGCCAAGGUGGAUUUGUUAGUCUCAGGCCCUCCUGGCCACAUUGCCCAAGUCACACAGGCUUCUGUAUUAUGUAUUUAGAUAAAAUGUGUGAAAACAUAUUUGAAAUAAAGUUCAUAAAUAUGCAUUGAUUUUUGUACACAUGGCA
rnacentral:lncRNA from 1 species